UUUAAAACAGCAUGUGAGUGAAGAAGAAAAGCAUCAAUCAGUCUCAUUGGAGACUUCAGAUCCAAAGACUCAAGAGAACUCUAUGUUUUAAUGCGUAGGUUCGGUGAUGUAUGGGCAUGGGUAUAGACGUGUGAUUGGAUAAAUGGGGUAGGUAGGACCUACUGGGAUGGACUGAUGUUGAAGAAGGUCUGCCCAGUAUCUUCCUGGCUCUCAGUGUCGUGCUGCUUUCUUCCAGGUGCAGGGCGGGACAGCUGCCGUGUGAGGGCCUCAUGAUCUAUUUCCAGGGUGGGGUAGGCCAGAGGACCCUUCUAUAGUCAAUUCUCAGAGAGAAAAGCUGAGGAGCUACGUGUGGUGAUCCAUGCCUGUCAUCCCUGUACUCAUGAGGCUGAGGCAGGAGGAUUGUAGUUCAAAGCCAGCUUGGGUUCCAUAGAAAGGUCUGGGCAAGCCUUAAAGGCCAUACCUCAUUAAAGAGAAAAGGAAAGGUGUGGGGGUAACCUCUUGUACACUGUGUGGAAGCAUCACCUGUCAAUCAAAGACUGACGGGCCUAUUAGCAAAAGGCAGGAAAAAGGAAAAGGUGGGAGUUCCGGUAGAGAGCCUGGAACUCUGGGAGAUAGGCAGCGGUGGCGCAUUUACCCUGGACUGUGAGAGCGUCAGGCUCAUGAAAUUGAGGAGAGGAGGAGAUGAACCAUAACCUGGGUCUCCAAUUUAGGGGAAAGCAAGAAGGACAAACGAGUGAUAUGAGACUGACAGCCAUUGGCUUCCAGGGCCAUUUGUAUGGGGACCGGAGGAGACUGGAUCCAGAUAUGGGAUAUGAACUAAACAUUGGUCUUUUGGGCAUCUCAUCUGCGACCUAACAGACUGGAUAUGCACAACCUGUUUCCUGGAUCUCCUGCAGGCCUUGGGACUCAACAGCAUCCAAAAACCACACAAGCCAAUUCCUUAUAAUAAAACCAUCUUUCUCCAUAAAUCUCUCCAGGGCAUUGGUUCUGCGUGUCUGGCACACCUUGGCUGAGGUGGCUUUCGCACAUGAGGCUUGCCAUAUUGUAACAUUGUUUCUCAACCACACAUGAGGCUUGCUGUAUUGAAACAUUGUUUCUAAGCCGUGCUGUUUCACUUGUGUUGGGACCAACCUGCCUCCUGGAUAGGCUUGUCGUUUAGGAGAAAGAGCUUGGGCUAACACUGCUAAUACUUCCUGUGCUGUCGGCCAUCGGAACACUUAUUAUUCUGGAUGAUUUCCCCAUCAGUGAUCUUCCAGUUCCCCGAUUCUCUCUUCAGCUGUUGCUUUCACUGGCUUUGUAAAUUCCAGUCACUAGCUCCCGUGUCCUUGUAGGCUAAGGCUUUAUUUUUUGAAUACCCAUCUGCUCUUUCUCCUUUCUAUAUGAGUCAUGUCCUUAGCUUCUUGGUGAAUCUUUUUAGACAAUCCAUAGUGUUUAUCCUUUAACUCAAAAGGUAUUUAUUUAGCGCAACUCCCCACCCAGUGUUAUGCUUAAUUCAAUUUUUUUAUUGGAACUUUUUCCAUACAAUAUCUUCUGAUCGUGCUUUCCCGUCUCCAAUGCCUCCCAUAUCUUCCAUCUUCCCUGUCUCUCCUCUCUCUCUCUCUUUCUUCUCUCUUUCUUCUCUCUCUCUCUCAUAAAUAGGCAAAACACUUGGCUUGUUAGUGUGUGUGCACAUAUAAGUACCACCAUGUGUGUGUGUGUGUGUGGGGGGGGUGACCAUGCUCAAAGGAUAACUUUCAAGAGUUGGUUCUUUCCUUCAGUCAUGUGGGUCCUGGGGAUUGAAUUCGGGUCUUCAAUCCUGGGAGCAGGUGCCUCACUCACCCUUUGGGCCACCUCACCAGCCUGCACAAGGAUUUUUAAAACUCUUUUCACAGUGCACCAUCAUUUCCCCAGUCUCCUGAUGGUUUACUUUUUAAAUUACAUUCGAUAGGAAUUUGUUGAUUUGUUUUGCCUCACUGCGAUGCGGUCGAUGCGCUGCGUUUGCUUGGCUCUUCUGGCCGUACCCUUUGCAGGGUUUCUUACCCCUGCCUUCUCUCUAAAGGUCUCUGGUUCGGAGCCAAACAGAGUUGUUUCAGAGCUUUCGUCCUCACAGGGCUACUGGGGAUGCUGGGUUCCGAUCUUCCCGACUAGCUAUUGAACCUUAAGUCUAGCCAGGGGCAGACAGAAGCAUCCUGUACCCUAUCUGUAAAGUGAAAGCUGCCCUGCAGCCCUGGAUGGUCCCCAGCCCUGCACAGAGCAUUCUCAUACUGCACAACGAGCUUCCCAGCUCCCCUGUCUCCAAGUCCAGCGUGCUGGGACAACAAGCCCACCCUUCAGUUCUGUCCUGACCAUGAAUAGGUUAUAGUUUCCUUUUGCUUUUAUGUUUUGAGCACAUGAUCGAAACAAAUCUAUCAUUUGUCUGCAUUGAUGCAGGAGAGAGGCUCAAAGCACGAUUCUUGAUAGAUUUCAAUACUCCCUACAGUCUCCUUUUAUCACUUUUUGGCAGUAACCGCCCCCACCCCUGCCCCCAUCUCCUUACAGGGAAGAGUUGCCCAGGUACCUUGGCUUUACAAAGUGUUAUGAUUAGGAAAUCAGAAUGCUUAGCAAUUAAAGGCAAGGACUGAGCUGGAUGUCCACAGUUCAAACCUCACAUCUACUGUUUGAUCACGUGACUUUUAGGCCAAGCUAUUUAAUGCUUUAAGUCCUAAUAGCCCCAUCUGAAAGACAUACCAAUUGUGUAAACCUCCUAAGAUUAUCUGAAAGAUUAAAUGAGAUAAUCCAUGUAAAACACUCUCCCCAGAGUUGCUGGCACACAGUCAGCCCUCAGCAAGUGCCUGCCAUGAUUACAGUAGUUGCCACUGCUGGAUUAGAAUCAGAGCCCAACCUCAGAGGAGCAGCACUUUGUUGAAAGACUCCAGUGGUCUAAGCAUCAGAGGAGAGAAAAGCCAAGGAAUUACUUAAUCACAGGAUUUUCCAGGCACUUUUAGGUCGUGACGGCUGGGUUCCGUAACAAAUCUGUGCUUUGGUUUAGUUGUUAGAUAGCAAGAAAGCAGAGUCCGGGAUUGUUGUACACAUUUGGCCACAGGGAUAUCAACGGUCAAAUGCAGGCGAUGGUUUCUGGGACAGACACUAAAGAUGGAACUGUUUCUUAAACAGAACAUAGGAAACCGCCCCAAGGCAAUUCUGUUUGUAGACUGUAGUGUUUGAAUGAGAUGUCCCCUAUAGUCUUGUUGUUUUAAUACUUUGUUCCUAGUUGGCCACUGUUUGGGGAGCUUAAGGAAGGUGGCCUUGGAAGAAGUGUGUCACCAGAGGUGGGCUUUGAGGUUUAACAAGCCUCCAGCUACUCUUAGCAUGCUCUGUUACCUGUUUCUGGUUUAAGAUGUGAGUUCUCAGCUCCUGCUUCAGCUGCCUGCUGCCUCUGCUCUGCCAUCAUGGACUCAAAUGCUCUGAGAUUGUAAGCUCAAAACAAAUCCUUCCUUCUAUAUGUUGCCCUGGUCAUGGUGUCUUAUCACAAAAAUAAAAAAUGGCUAAUCAUUUUCUCUGCAACAAGUUUGCAGACCAAAAGGAAUUUGCCAAAAUGUAUACAUUUACUGUCUACCAAGAUGUAAAAUAAAUUAAGUUUUUUGUUUGUUUGGACAAGAAAUUUACCAACUUUGGGUUUAUGUUUUCUGUAAUUUCAUGAACCUUUUCAUAGGGACCAGUAAGAUUUGGGCAGCAGCAGAAGCUGGGCCAGAGCCCCCCUUUCCAACUUAGCUACCAUACAGGCCCAGAUCCAGUGCUUGGAAUUGGUCUGCCUCAACAUCUACCCCAUGUGCUAGCUGCUGGGGCAUGUGAAGGGGCUGGCCCUGCAGAACCAGAGCUACAGGACCACUGUGACUCUGCCAACAGCAGGAUAGCUGAGUCUCGGCAAUGGUCCAGUGUUGAUGCUGUGUCAGGAACCAGAGAGUUUGAGCCAGACCAACAACCAUUUGCAAUGACUCCAUUUGCUGAGGGAACACAUCAAAAAGAGAAAGUUCCAGCAUCAUGUCUCAGUUCUGAAGAAGUCAAGAAAAAAGUUGAAGCCUUUUUGGCAAAGGUAGGAUUUGUAGAUAAAACUGGAGCUUCCAGAGCAGACCAUGUGAAACAGGAGAAAGGCACUUUCUGGGAACCCAAUGCCCAGGUGACCGUAGAAAAAGCAAAUGGGUGGCUUUCCAGUUUCCAGUGCCACUGCGAGAGGCAAAUGCUCAGAGGAGGGAAAGAGAGAGGUGGAUAGGGGAACAUGUGGUUGCUGGGUAGCACCAAUAGGGUGGUGUGCAGCAGCCUGGAGCUUGUACUCCAACUCAGCUGCCAAACACAACAUAAUUGCCCUGGCUCUGUGCAAUGACAGGGUGUCCAAGAUGAAGAAGAGUUCAUUUUCUGGAUCAAAAGACCUCCAUGGUCCAUGCAGACCUGGAGGCCACUUUGGUAUCCAUGGUCCUACAGUAGCUUGGAACUGUGUUGAUUCCCCUGGCCCAAGUUACCACCAAAGGCCAGACAGAUGUCCUUAGUCUGGGCCACUGCCUGAGGCCAUGGUGAUGCCUGAGCUGGUGCUGUCACUGAGGGCUAUGAUAGUGUCCUUCUUCACGCAGUGACAGAGGGCCACGUUGAUAUCCGUGAUUCAUGCUGCCACCAGAGACCAUUCGGAAGUCCGUGAUCCGUGAUCCUGCUGACUGUAAAGGGCAAAGACGCUUCUUUCUCAGUGGUAUCGAUGACUGCAGACUCACAGUUGAGAGAGAGGGAUAUAGAAGGCUUCUGUGGCAACCCCUACAUCCAUCUACCCACCCACCCCCAAAGUAACAGCCUAGACAGAAAGCCACUGAAGAGAACUCUUAAAAAUUGUAGUAAGGAUGCUGAAGUAUAGCUCUCCAUACGUGAUGGCUUCUGGAGGGGGUGCAGGUGGGGAAGGGCUCAGUUUUCUUUAUGCAGAUGGACACCAAGAGUGUGACCAUGCUCCAGUGACGGCUCAAACUAGUCUUGGUUUCUCCUCCUCCUCCUCCUCCUCCCCCUCCUCCCCUCCUCCCCCUCCUCCCCUCCUCCUCCCCCUCCUCCUCCUCCCCUUCUUCCUCUUCCUCCUCCUCCUCUUCUUUCUCCUCCUCCUUCUCCUUCCCCUUUUUUCCUCCCCCUCUUCCUCCUUUUUAUUUUGCAGGGGAAGAUCACAGGGUGGGGAGGAGGACCUGGGAGGACUGGGAAGUGAGUGUGCUUGGAGUUCAGGAUGUGAGACUCUCACAUAGUCAAUAGCAAUAUUGUGAAAAUCCAAAAAAAAUCAAUAAUUAAAUCUUUAAAUAAAUAUCCUAAGAGUUAGGGAGAAAGUGGUAGAAGACCAUGCUUUUCAAUUUUCUCUCUUUCUUUAUUUGGGCACUAUAGGAAAGCCCAGUUGGGUUUGGACGCAGGAAUGAGGAGUGCUUAUUGCUCUGCAGAGGACCCUGGUUCAGUUCCCAGCACCCACAUGACAGCUGCGAGGCCCUGUAGCUACACUUCAGGGGUACCUGACGCCCUGCCCUCAUCUUGCCUCAGCAGGCUCCUGCACAAGUGUGAUGCACAUGAGCUAGCAUGAGUGUGUGCAUGUGCACAUAAAUAAAUAAAUAGAAGUUUGAAGUGUGAUUGUUGGCUGUGAGAUAAGAAAACUAGAUCUGCUUUUAAUGAAAUGCCACACUUUUGCUCACCUACAAGACAUUUAGUUGUAAGCUCUGAACUGGGAAAUAUAACUUUGCUUAGUCUACAGGCCAACCAAAAGUAAGAUUAAAUGUGGUGUGGCUGAGGUGUGGAAACAGGCACUUUUGACCAAACAGUUCUCAGUAGACACAGUUUUUGAUUGACUGGGAAGUAGUUAACUUACUCAGCUGAGCACCCAUCAGUGGUUGUGGACGGUGGUAUGUAUACCCUAGCUUUCUUCCUGCGCUGUAGUAACUCCCUACUGGUUUGUGUAGCCAGAACAACCGGCCACCCCAGUGGGGAUAUUAAACAUAACACUGACGGGGCUUCUCCACAUACAACUUUGAUUAGCCAAAUACAGAAAAGAACUUAUCUUCUACGAUUACGGCAUUCCACAGGCUUUACCCGGAAAACUUGAAGCACAUUACUUUGACGUCGGAGUUUCAGAGCAUCCCCAUCUCUCUCUGAGUUGUCUCAGGAAGGCACCUGGAACCAAGUUCCUGACUCAGGCAAGAUUCCGCCGUGCACAGGAGCUUCUCGGACGAGCAGGCAGCUCUCAGCUCCUGGGUAGGUUUAUUCCAGAACGCACCUCAGAUACAGCAUAUGUGUUCCCCUGUUACCUGAGCUCUUCCCACGGAACCCUGGACUGUGGAAGCUAAAUAUGCACGGUAACUAUUGUAGCAGAAGACAUGGGAGAGCAUGUCCAAUCCUCUUUUUUAUUUUCUUUCCCUUGAAAAGCUAUAACCUCCCACCUCUCUAUUCCCCAAUUUCCAAAUAAAAUUAAACUUCAUUAUUGUUUCCAUUAAAAAAAAAUACUCACUGAGUC